rnacentral:tRNA from 1 species
GGUGGCUCAGCGGUAGAGCGCUUGCCUUACAUGCUUGAGAACCUGGGUUCAAUUCCUCAGCACCA